rnacentral:rRNA from 1 species
GACGAACGCUGGCGGCGUGCUUAACACAUGCAAGUCGAACGGAAAGGCCCUGCUUUUGUGGGGUGCUCGAGUGGCGAACGGGUGAGUAACACGUGAGUAACCUGCCCUUGACUUUGGGAUAACUUCAGGAAACUGGGGCUAAUACCGGAUAGGAGCUCCUGCUGCAUGGUGGGGGUUGGAAAGUUUCGGCGGUUGGGGAUGGACUCGCGGCUUAUCAGCUUGUUGGUGGGGUAGUGGCUUACCAAGGCUUUGACGGGUAGCCGGCCUGAGAGGGUGACCGGCCACAUUGGGACUGAGAUACGGCCCAGACUCCUACGGGAGGCAGCAGGGGGGAAUAUUGCACAAUGGGCGGAAGCCUGAUGCAGCAACGCCGCGGGCGGGAUGACGGCCUUCGGGUUGUAAACCGCUUUCGGCUGUGACGAAGCGUGAGUGACGGUAAUGGGUAAAGAAGCACCGGCUAACUACGUG